rnacentral:rRNA from 1 species
AACUAACGCUGGCGGCGUGCCUAACACAUGCAAGUCGAACGAGAAAGUUGGCUUCGGCCGAUGAGUAAAGUGGCGCACGGGUGAGUAACGCGUGGAUAAUCUGCCCUUUAGUUUGGAAUAACGUACCGAAAGGUGCGCUAAUACCGGAUAAUACUGAAUGACUACUGUCGUUUAGUCAAAGAAGGCUUCUGUUUACAUGCUUUUGCUGAAGGAUGAGUCCGCGUACCAUUAGCUAGUUGGUAGGGUAAUGGCCUACCAAGGCGACGAUGGUUAGCUGGUCUGAGAGGAUGAUCAGCCACACUGGAACUGAGACACGGUCCAGACUCCUACGGGAGGCAGCAGUGAGGAAUAUUGCGCAAUGGGGCAACCCUGACGCAGCAACGCCGCGUGAGUGAGGAAGGUUUUCGGACCGUAAAGCUCUGUCGAGCGGGAAGAAAUGCAUGGUGGCUAAUAUCCAUCAUGCUUGACGGUACGCUAAAGGAAGCACC